GACAGUAAAAAUAUUUAUCUCGGAGACAACAUUGAAUGUUGAUUUUUGAAUGAGGAAGGUUCACACAUGCGCAGUGGUUGUAGCAGUAGCACUUUGCUUCUCCCAACUGUCACUGCCGCACAUGGCGCGAAAACCGGAGAAGAAUGGAGGUUUCAGCUGCUCCAGAAGUUAUAGGAUUCAGGAAUUAUACUGACUGAAGAAGAGACAAAGAGAUUCAGAGAUUUACAUUUUCUCACACUCUACAUUGUCACCUGGAGUCAGCUCUGUAACCGUGGCCCCAAGUUUUUGUGGAAAUGGCUGAGACCGAUUUCCUCAGUGCCAUGGAGAGAACGACAGUGGGGAUCUAUGUUGUGAAAGACACUGCCAGCAGUGAACCCUCUGAUGUCAGGAUAGUCCUCGAAGGUGUGAUGGUGCUUCAAGAUCUUGAGAAUGUAGCACUUGCUUCUGCAAUGUUGUUUGGGCUCUUAUGCCUUGAACAUGCAGCACCCUACAAAGCUCCGCUACACCUUUGAGGCAUUUCAAAAGAUCAUCAUGGAGCCUCAGCAUCAGACACUUAAUAAUAUGAGCCUGUCAGCUGCAAAAACAGAACUUUUAGUGACACUAACUGACCAUGCACAGUUGCCCUAUAUAACGUUGCAGCCCGGUUCACAGCAAUCUUGCUCAAUGCUGGACCAAUUUUCAUGAAUUAACCACUAGAUAGCCUAAAUUUAUAUUGAUUGGCUGUAAAUGUAGCUGUUUUUUAAGUAUGCUUGUUUUUCCACUGUCCAAUUAACGUUUUUAUAUCUAUAAUUUCUUUAAAUUGACUGAUU